GACGAACGCUGGCGGCGUGCUUAACACAUGCAAGUCGUGCGGUAAGGCCCUUUCGGGGGUACACGAGCGGCGAACGGGUGAGUAACACGUGAGCAACCUGCCCUUCACUUUGGGAUAACUGCCGGAAACGGUGGCUAAUACCGGAUAUGACUUCCUCACGCAUGUGGGGUGGUGGAAAGCCUUCGGGUGGUGGGGGAUGGGCUCGCGGUCUAUCAGCUUGUUGGUGGGGUGAUGGCCUACCAAGGCUUCGACGGGUAGCCGGCCUGAGAGGGUGACCGGCCACACUGGGCCUGAGACCCGGCUCAGAAUACUCCGAGGGGCAGCAGUGGGGAGUAUUGGACAAUGGGCGAAAGCCUGAUCCAGCAACGCCGCGUGAGGGAUGACGGCCUUCGGGUUGUAAACCUCUUUCGCCUGCGACGAAGCGAGAGUGACGGUAGCAGGUAAAGAAGCACCGGCCAACUACGUG
rnacentral:rRNA from 1 species